UUUUGUAUUAAGUUUUAUUUUUAUGAGUUUUAUUGAGUUUUAUUGAGUCAAGAAGGGGAUGAUGAACUUUUUCAAUUUUACUUACUAUCUAACCACUCUCUAGCACCAUUCUUUGAGGUUAUUGAUUGCAGGGUGUACUGAAUGGAAACACUAAAGUGGAUCACUUGCCAAUAACAACCAUGCUAGUUGAGAAAGUCUGAAGGAACCAAAGCUGAUUUCCAACCUUAAUCAACUCAACUUGCUUGUUUAGGGGCUUGGAAUACAUUGGAUCGGAUUCCUUCUGCAAGUCUGGAAGGUAAAAGUAUGUGUGUUACUAUUCCCCUCUCUCUCCCCUUCAGUGUUAAGAAGAAUUAGAAUGAGACUUGGUGGUUACAACCAUUAAAGCUUGAUUCAUAAAAAUUCGAGAAAGAGAUAAAAGUCAAAAAGAAGUGAACAUGAUCAGGUACGAAAGCCUGUCCAAAUAUCUUAGUCAAUUUAAAAGAUAAAAUAAUACCCUAUAAAGAAGGGAGACAUUGACUGAGAGAAGUGAGAAGAGAGGGAGGAAAAGAACUAGAGAAGCCUACUUGUGUGUUCAGAUACUUGCUUGAGUAAGAGUCCAUGUGUUCUGUGAUUGAUACUCCCAAGAUUUAGCCUACACAUUUAUAUGCAGAAAUGAGGUCAGUAGAGAGGUAUGUCAGGCAAAAUCAGCUAAGCAGUGGGCUAGAUGGUUUGGUUGCUAAGCUAAGGUCUAUUGCAUGAAGUGCCUCUAAAGUUGGCAAUGAUCUGAUGUGGCUUGCAACAUUGCAGAGGUGAAAGUAGUAAGUUUAAAAUUGUGUGAGUCCCUGUUGUUUUCAAACCUCUUUCACAUGACUACUCUAUGUUUUGCUUGAGGACAAGCAAAAUGGUAAGUCUGGGGGAGUUGAUAUACCAUGGAUUUUAUCCAUUUUUAGCCAUG
rnacentral:lncRNA from 1 species